GUAGGUGGCAAGCGUUGUCCGGAAUUAUUGGGCGUAAAGCGCGCGCAGGCGGUUCUUUAAGUCUGAUGUGAAAGCCCACGGCUCAACCGUGGAGGGUCAUUGGAAACUGGAGAACUUGAGUACAGAAGAGGAAAGCGGAAUUCCACGUGUAGCGGUGAAAUGCGUAGAGAUGUGGAGGAACACCAGUGGCGAAGGCGGCUUUCUGGUCUGUAACUGACGCUGAGGCGCGAAAGCGUGGGGGAGCAAACAGGAUUAGAUACCCUGGUAGUCCACGCCGUAAACGAUGAGUGCUAAGUGUUAGGGGGUUUCCGCCCCUUAGUGCUGCAGCUAACACAUUAAGCACUCCGCCUGGGAGUACGGCCGCAAGGCUG
rnacentral:rRNA from 1 species